ACUGUCAAAAUUUUCAUCAAUGCUCAGAGAAUAGUAUAUCAAACUACCAGGAGUUCAUGUUUCUUCCUUCCUUUGUUUACAGUAUCACUCUUUAUGGUGUUUUCUUCAUCUUAUUGACAAUUCAGCUUUGUUGGAAGCUCUUCUAGUAAACUGAGUAAUUAAACAAAUUUUUGUCUGCUCUACUAAAUGAAAUUUCUGAUAGUUUGCAUAUGAAGGGAAGAUUUUGUUUUUGUAUUGCAGUUAUAUAUGUCAAACCUUACUUGCAGCUACAUGCAUUUGUCGCUCCCAAAAUUAUAGGUGGGAAAAAUGCACUGUCCCAGUUGGGGAACAUGGAAUGGUAGAGAUGACCCAGGUUCUGGAACUAAUUUCUAUAAGCAGAAAGAAACAGACUCUUGAACUUCCAAAAGAAGCACAUCUUUGGAAUGUUUCAGAGGUCCCCACUAUAGUUGCUAGACAAAGAGGUGCAAGGAGAAGUUUCCAGAGAUUGCUUGCAUCCAAAGGAGUGUGGAGGGACACUGGCUCCAUCUGAUAUUUCUUUCGGGGUCAUACACAAGUUAUAUAUGUCAAACCUUACUUGCAGCUACAUGCAUUUGUCGCUCCCAAAAUUAUAGGUGGGAAAAAUGCACCGUUCCAGUUGGGGAACAUGGAAUGGUAGAGAUGACCCAGGUUCUGGAACUAAUUUC